CACAAACCAAGAGCACAGAAGAGGUUUCUGCUGUUUCUGCAAGACUUCUCCAGACUCCAGCACAUGCCCUCUGCCCAGCCAGGAUGGGAGAUCUCUGAGGUUCUACCAGUUUAAGUCCAGUGCACUGUGCAUUACACCACUGGAUCAAGCAUUGGAUCAAAAGCGCUUGAUCCAGAAACAAUAUUCGUCUUACCAUAAUAAGGCUGUCAGACUCUCAGUGUCCACUCUGAAGGAAGACAGAUUGAGCUGCAAUUCUGAUCCAGUGCCAUUUGGAUUCAAAAUGAACAGACUGUAAGUCAGGUCAGUUUCUCCCAAGUUCCUGCUGAGGCUCUUCAAAGAAAGAGAAGAGUGCAAGAAUGGUCAAUAGAAAUCAUAAAUAACGGGGAUUUUGAAAUCUCCGAUCUUCAUGUAGAAACAAAUCACACCAGAGCCACCUAUUGGACACAAU